AUUGAACGCUGGCGGCAUGCUUUACACAUGCAAGUCGAACGGUAACAGGCCUUCGGGUGCUGACGAGUGGCGAACGGGUGAGUAAUGCAUCGGAACGUACCCAGAGGCGGGGGAUAACGCAGCGAAAGCUGUGCUAAUACCGCAUGUGAUCUGAGGAUGAAAGCGGGGGACCGAGCAGCAAUGUUUGGCCUCGCGCCUUUGGAGCGGCCGAUGUCGGAUUAGGUAGUUGGUGGGGUAAAGGCCUACCAAGGCGACGAUCCGUAGCUGGUCUGAGAGGACGACCAGCCACACUGGGACUGAGACACGGCCCAGACUCCUACGGGAGGCAGCAGUGGGGAAUUUUGGACAAUGGGCGCAAGCCUGAUCCAGCAAUGCCGCGUGCGGGAAGAAGGCCUUCGGGUUGUAAACCGCUUUUGGCAGGAACGAAACGGUGUCCGCUAAUACCGGGCGCUAAUGACGGUACCUGAAGAAUAAGCACCGGCUAACUACGUG
rnacentral:rRNA from 1 species